rnacentral:rRNA from 1 species
UGGGGAAUUUUGGACAAUGGGCGAAAGCCUGAUCCAGCAAUGCCGCGUGUGUGAAGAAGGCCUUCGGGUUGUAAAGCACUUUUGUCCGGAAAGAAAUCCUUGGCUCUAAUACAGUCGGGGGAUGACGGUACCGGAAGAAUAAGCACCGGCUAACUACGUGCCAGCAGCCGCGGUAAUACGUAGGGUGCAAGCGUUAAUCGGAAUUACUGGGCGUAAAGCGUGCGCAGGCGGUUUGCUAAGACCGAUGUGAAAUCCCCGGGCUCAACCUGGGAACUGCAUUGGUGACUGGCAGGCUAGAGUAUGGCAGAGGGGGGUAGAAUUCCACGUGUAGCAGUGAAAUGCGUAGAGAUGUGGAGGAAUACCGAUGGCGAAGGCAGCCCCCUGGGCCAAUACUGACGCUCAUGCACGAAAGCGUGGGGAGCAAACAGGAUUAGAUACCCUGGUAGUCCACGCCCUAAACGAUGUCAACUAGUUGUUGGGGAUUCAUUUCCUUAGUAACGUAGCUAACGCGUGAAGUUGACCGCCUGGGGAGUACGGUCGCAAGGCUAAAA